rnacentral:piRNA from 1 species
GUGCAGGGGAAGUGACUGGUGCUAG